CACCUGCUGUGCAGCUGGGGCAGUGCCCUCCAGCCAGGCAGAAUUAACCUGUGCUGCAAGAUUAAAGGAUAAGCUUGAGUUUAGUGAGGACCUCAGAAAAGCAGAAUUCCUCUCUCUGAACAACACCCUGCAAUAAGCAGAGAUAAGUCUGAGCCACAGCACCAGUUUUGGAGCCAAGCUGUUGUGAAGUUUGGCCUGCUCAGAGGUAGGGUUUCUUCAUAAACCUCUCCACAACAGAAAACUUUGAGGUUUCUUGUUCACUGUUCUGGAUUCAUAAUUCUAGGCAUUCUGUUGUUGAGUGUGCUUGCCUUAUGGUUUUUCCUUGAUCUUUUGCAAGCUAAGGGGUAAUGUGGGGUUUGGAAUUUUUCGUUCAGCAUUGCUUUAAUCUUCAGUGUUACUUUCAUAUGCUAUUUUUAUGGGCUUACACAAGAUUUUGUGAGCUCCUGCUCACAAAAAUCACAAAAUUUAAGGAGGCUGUUGCAUACUGACUAUUCAGCUGCACUGUGGGAUCAAAAAAACAGGAGCCUGGUCCCUUGUGUGGGAAUGAAGCCUUGCUUAAGUGAGAGUAUCUUUGAAUGCUUUCCUAGGUGCUUUACAUGACCACCAUUGGGUUGUCCAAGGCAAGGAAGUGGAAGUGUUCUCCCUUUGGAAACCAUUUUCCAGGCAAGGACAGGAGCAUGCACCAAGGAAGAAGGCAAAGAGGAAGUGGUGGUUUCAAGCAUGAAACACAUAUAAAGGAAGAAAUGGCAGAAUUAAGGAAGUCUUGUGCAGGUCUGAAGCUGUUGUAGGGAGCAAGAAAAUGGGCACAGAGGGUUAGCCAUGAACUCUACAUUGAUGUCAUCAAGAAGGACAGCAGCUUUAAGGUAAAUAAUUCCCUUUCAAGCUCCCAUGCUGGUUUGUAUCUGCACAAGCUGUUGUUGUCUUCAUGUGAGUGCAGAUGAGGAACCCUUGGUGCAUCAGCCUGUCUUGCACUGUUGCUCCUCUGAGCUGGCAGCAUCACAAACAGCAGAGUUCAAAGUACAGUUCUUUCAGAGGUCAGUGGCCUAGAUCAGAUGCUGUCUUUGACAGUUUUUCAUAUUGACAGUCUUCAAGAUAAGAGAGCAGAUGCCCCUGAACUUUGAAGUCUAGUAAAAGACACGCGCCAAGGCAGUGGAUUUUACAAGGAAACAUUCAUGUAAUUUGUUUUGGACUCUGGGAUAAGAUAGCCAGACUGUAGUCAGAGCAAGAUAAGGCCCCUUUCUGGAAAACUGGCUUAUCAAUAUAGUUAGCAAGUUAUUUUGCCUACAAGUAAUUACUGUAAUUCCAGCUGAUUAUUUUGUUUACAAUUUUCUGUUCUGCAGAGAGCAGUCCUUAUCCAUAGUUGUAAAGCAGAGAUUGCUCACAAUUGCAGGUGCAGUGAUUUGAGUUAUGGAUAGAGCACUACAUCAUGAGACUGAGUUUAGGUCCUUGUCUGAGGGCUGGAUCACAGCCUCUAAGAGUCUGUAUUUACUGCAACUGUAGGAUGUCUGUCAGCCCAAAGUAUCAUGGCCCGUCUUAAGCUGUACAAGUGAUGCUGGCUUUGUUCCUCUUGUUUAUGGUAAGGGCACUGAAGAGCAGUGAUUUUAUGGAAAGCAUAAAACAGGAUCUAGGACCAAAGUCAAAGAAAGUCAUCUUGACCUAAUAGCUACUGGAAUUGAUUCAGUACUCCCUGCAUAUUGGCCCUCUACAAAAGGAGUUUUCAUUGUGGAAUAUGACACAUGCUGAAAGUGGGUCCUACCCAAAAUCAUUUCAUCCAGCUUCAGUUAAAUA
rnacentral:lncRNA from 1 species